AGGGCUGUAGCUCUAUGGUAGAGCAUCUGCAUAGCGUGCAAAGGUCUAGGUUCAAUCACUAGCAUCUCUA